UACAGAGGGUGCGAGCGUUAAUCGGAAUUACUGGGCGUAAAGCGCACGUAGGUGGCGACGUAAGUCGGGUGUGAAAGCCCCGGGCUCAACCUGGGAAUUGCAUUCGAGACUGCAUUGCUGGAGUACGGAAGAGGAGGGCGGAAUUCCCGGUGUAGCGGUGAAAUGCGUAGAUAUCGGGAGGAACAUCAGUGGCGAAGGCGGCCCUCUGGUCCAGUACUGACACUCAGUUGCGAAGGCGUCGGGAGCAAACAGG
rnacentral:rRNA from 1 species